rnacentral:rRNA from 1 species
GAGGAAAAGAAACUAACAAGGAUUCCCCUAGUAACGGCGAGUGAAGCGGGAAGAGCUCAAAUUUGAAAUCUGGUAGCCUUCGGUUGCCCGAGUUGUAAUCUAGAGAAAUGUUUUCCGUGCCGGCCCAUGUACAAGUCCCUUGGAACAGGGCGUCAUAGAGGGUGAGAAUCCCGUCCUUGACAUGGACCCCCGGUGCUUUGUGAUACAUUUUCAACGAGUCGAGUUGUUUGGGAAUGCAGCUCAAAAUGGGUGGUGAAUUCCAUCUAAAGCUAAAUAUUGGCGAGAGACCGAUAGCGAACAAGUACCGUGAGGGAAAGAUGAAAAGCACUUUGGAAAGAGAGUUAAACAGUACGUGAAAUUGUUGAAAGGGAAACGAUUGAAGUCAGUCAUGCUCUUUGGUAUUUAUAUCAUUGAGUGGGGUCAACAUCAGUUUUGAUCGAUGGAUAAAGGCACUAGGAAUGUAGCACUCUCGGGUGAACUUAUAGCCUAGCGUCAUAUACAUUGAUUGGGACUGAGGAACGCAGCAUGCCUUUAUGGCCGGGAUUCGUCCACGUACAUGCUUAGGAUGUUGACAUAAUGGCUUUAAACGACCCGUCUUG